CAAAAUGACCUUUAUUACAUUUUCUGAUGCAUAUUGAUGUCCUUAUGCUGUGUAGAAAAUGUUCCAGAUUCAAUUUAUCAAAUUACAGCUAUCUGAGGAGAUACACCAUAUUAUUUGAAAAUACCACGAGAUCACUGUUAGCAUAACUUUUUGAAUUAAUCAGGGCAAGAUAGAGGUAGCAAUUAAUACACUCCUUCUGUCAAUGUCAAUGGAGUGUGUCAUUGCCUUUCUUUUGAUUCAUUGCAUCAGUAAUAUCAUUUAUGGCUACUAUAAUUGUGUGGUAUACUAAAUAGCUAUAAAAUAGCUAUAGUAGAGUUUAUGACCCUUAUGAUACUGCACUAUAAUGUACAUACCUAGUGUUGGUGAGAAAAGGAUUCAGUUUUUUAAGAAUAACAUUAGUAGCUUUAUACAUCAGUGUACAUACAGUUAUAUAGCUGAGUUGUUCUCCUCAGCUGUUACAUUCAUAAGUCAUAUUGUCUUUAUACCAAACCAUUACUACUUGUAUUGUAUUAUGAUAUUUAAUUUAAUGCAUUCAACAUUUUCAUUAUUUGUACAAAUGGUUCGAGGAGUUUUGUUUGAGUUUUAAUAACAAAAAUUAUGAACCAAUUUGAUUGGCAUGUUGGUAUGAUUUAGAUAGAAUCUUGUGGCUGAAUGUUCUAAGACUAUUUUAAAAGAUAUGCAUUUAAAGAUAUACUGUUAGUAACUGAGUUAAUAAGAUAUAUUCAUUCAUGUAUACUGUUAUAUCUUUAAUAGUCUACAUCUUUUGAUUGGGACAAGAUAAGAAAGAAAGGAAAGAAAGAAAAGAAAGGCUUAAAGUUAGAUCCAAGGAUAUUUAAAAACUGAACCUGAGGAAAGUGUAGAUGAAGUGAAGAAUAAGAGCAAACCAUUAUCUGAGGAAAUGAAAGACUACACAGUUCAGUAUCUGAGGAGGUGAAGGACCUAUGCAGUUCAAUGGAUCAGUUGUUAUCUAUUGUUAACAGUAUAAAGAAUGAAAGACAAGGAGGAGGAGGAGGAGAAGUAAGAGGACCAGAGAACUAGUGUUUGAGAAGGAGGAAGGAGGAGUUGAACUUUAACUUAUAGAUUUUAUUGUGUGGUAUUUAGAGAAUGCUAAACUCUUUAUUUAUUUUCUUUUUUUAGUAUUUUUAGUAUCUAGUUAUAUGCUUCUUAUUACUAAUAGUUUUUAUUUUGAGUGUCCCUUUA